GAUGAAGAACUUAGCGAAAUGCGAUACGUAAUGUGAAUUGCAAAUUCAGUGAAUCAUCGAGUCUUUGAACGCACAUUGCGCCCCCUGGUAUUCCGGGGGGCAUGCCUGUCCGAGCGUCAUUGCUGCCCUCAAGCACGGCUUGUGUGUUGGGCCCCGUCCUCCGAUCCCGGGGGACGGGCCCGAAAGGCAGCGGCGGCACCGCGUCCGGUCCUCGAGCGUAUGGGGCUUUGUCACCCGCUCUGUAGGCCCGGCCGGCGCUUGCCGAUCAACCCAAAUUUUUAUCCAGGUUGACCUCGGAUCAGGUAGGGAUACCCGCUGAACUUAAGCAUAUCAAUAAGCGGAGGA
rnacentral:misc_RNA from 1 species